CAGCAUGAACUUAGCUUGCUAAGUUUGAUGGCGACCGGCGCACGGGUGAGUAACACGUAUCCAACCUGCCGAUGACUCGGGGAUAGCCUUUCGAAAGAAAGAUUAAUACCCGAUGGCAUAGUUCUUCCGCAUGGUAGAACUAUUAAAGAAUUUCGGUCAUCGAUGGGGAUGCGUUCCAUUAGGUUGUUGGCGGGGUAACGGCCCACCAAGGCGACGAUGGGUAGCCGAUUUAAGAGGAUGAUCGGCCACAUUGGGACUGAGAUACGGCCCAGACUCC
rnacentral:rRNA from 1 species